AGAGUUUGAUCCUGGCUCAGAACGAACGCUGGCGGCGUUAACACAUGCAAGUCGAGUGCGCGCCUGUAGCAAUACAGGUGGCGCACGGCGCACGGGUGCGUAACACGUGGGUAGUCUGCCCUCUGAUGGGGAAUAACCCGCCGAAAGGCGGGCUAAUUCCGCAUAAAAUUCCUUGGACUUGUGUUCGAGGACUCAAAGGCGUAAGUCGUCGGAGGAGGAGCCCGCGCACGAUUAGCUAGUUGGUAGGGUAAUGGCCUACCAAGGCUUUGAUCGUUAGCUGGUCUGAGAGGAUGGCCAGCCACACUGGAACUGAGACACGGUCCAGACUCCUACGGGAGGCAGCAGUGGGGAAUCUUGCACAAUGGGCGAAAGCCUGAUGCAGCGACGCCGCGUGGGGGAUGAAGCAUUUCGGUGUGUAAACCCCUUUCGAUCCGGACGAAUACCUCGCAAGAGGGGUGACGGUACGGAUAUAAGAAGCCCCGGCUAACUACGUGCCAGCAGCCGCGGUAAGACGUAGGGGCCAGCGUUGUUCGGAAUUACUGGGUGUAAAGGGUUCGUAGGCGGUGUGGCAAGUUGGGUGUGAAAUCUCUGGGCUCAACCCAGAGACUGCUUCCAAAACUGCUGUGCUUGAGUGUGAGAGAGGCUCGUGGAAUUGCAGGUGUAGCGGAAAUGCGUAGAUAUCUGCAGGAACACCCGUGGCGAAAGCGGCGAGCUGGAUCACUACUGACGCUGAGGAACGAAAGCUAGGGGAGCAAACAGGAUUAGAUACCCUAGUAGUCC
rnacentral:rRNA from 1 species